rnacentral:rRNA from 1 species
UACGUAGGGGGCAAGCGUUGUCCGGAAUUAUUGGGCGUAAAGAGCGUGUAGGCGGUCCGGUAAGGCAGCUGUGAAAGUCAAGGGCUCAACCCUUGAAUGCCGGUUGAUACUGUCGGGCUAGAGUCCGGAAGAGGCGAGUGGAAUUCCCGGUGUAGCGGUGAAAUGCGCAGAUAUCGGGAGGAACACCAAUGGCGAAGGCAGCUCGCUGGGACGGUACUGACGCUGAGACGCGAAAGCGUGGGGAGCAAACAGG